GUUAAGGUGUCUGAAUAAAGUAGUAAACUGUAAAUUUACCCAAGAAAUAAAUUUCCUUUAAU
rnacentral:tRNA from 1 species